rnacentral:rRNA from 1 species
AAACUUGCCCCGAGAUGAGUUCUCCCUGACUCCUUGAGAGUCCUGAAGGAACGUUGAAGACGACGACGUUGAUAGGCCGGGUGUGUAAGCGCAGCGAUGCGUUGAGCUAACCGGUACUAAUGAACCGUGAGGCUUAACCUUACAACGCCGAAGCUGUU